rnacentral:tRNA from 2 species
GCGCCCGUAGCUCAGUUGGAUAGAGCGUCUGGCUACGAACCAGAAGGUCGCACGUUCGAGUCGUGCCGGGCGCACCA